GGGAGCAAAGUCGUUUAAUGAGAUAGGAUGAGCACACGAGUCGGUUUUAUUCUGACUGAUUAAUAAACGCGACUAGACUAUCGUAGACAGAUUGGGUAAUCGAUGGAAGGGCUCGGAUGGAAGGCGAAGCAGUUUAUCUUCUCAGGGAGUUCUGUACAUUUAGUUGGUGUGAUUAGUUCUUUUAAGAGAAUUUUUACUGAAUUUGACUAUAGGCAUAGGUAACUUAACUUUAAGUAUUAUGUUGGCGUUAUACUAUGGCGCGUUGCAUAUAUUUUGUCAAGCUUUCGAAUCUUGAAAUCUUUGUAAUAUUUUUAUGUUAGAAUAGAUCCAGUUAGUUGUGAUUAUACGUCAUAUGUCUAUAUGGGUUUUAGGAUGAUUUUGUACAUGAACAAUUUAUUUUUCGUGUUCAGUUUGAAUUAUCUUUCUAGUAGCCAGUAUAGCUAUUUUACUUUGGUUUGUUUGAUGGAGACUUGAAAAGCAAAGAUGAGGAUUUUUGAUGAGCGGAAAUGGGAACAGGCGUUUCGAGAGACUUUGGAGGGGUUGAGCUAUGCGGGUUGAAUGGUAAUUCGAUUGGAAACGGCGUGGAGAAGGAAAUUAGAGUAGAAAUGAUCAAGGAAGCGUUAGAUGAUCGGCAAGUGUAGGAGUUUCCUUUUCUGUUGGCCUAUUUUCUGAACAAUGUAGUUCACUGUAAUUAGACAAGGCUUCUAUUAACCUGUUAACUGGAUAGUUUCUUUAAAUAGAAAAUUCUAUAAUUACGAAAUUAAAUAUCAAUAACAGGGACAAAUGAAUUUUAGUUAGAUCACUUUCGAGUCCUUGCAGGUAUAUGUAUAUAUGCAUAAAUAUAUGAUAUGAUCUGUUUUGCAAUAAAAAUGAAAUCAUACAUAAAAAUAGAAAAUAAGACCUUAAACUACAUAUUUUUUUCCCGUGGAAUAAGAAGUUGUAGAUAUAGAGAACUUAAUAAACUGAAUACUACGAAUCGUCUUAACGCGAAAUAAUUAACUAUGACUGGAGAGACAAACGAGAUUGAAUUGAGUGAUCAACGAUGAUAGCAAAAAGCUGUACAACGAUUCUGUUGAAAUAUGGACAACUGCUUUAUACAGAAACUAGACCUUUGUAAAUAAAACUGUAGUUACAAAAUCCGAGAUAUCCAAGUGCAUAUACCCAUUUACGUGAUCAAAAAAAUAUAUGGCAGUUUGUCACACGUGAAAGAAUACUCUGCGUGGAAAACAGAGAGGAAUGCAAUGUUGGAAGAGAAAGAGGGACGGAGAGAGUGAGAGAAAGAGAGAGAGAGAGUGGGAGAGAAACAAGCAUGCAAUUGUAUACAUAUGGCACGCCAAUGGCACGGUUGGCAAUAGAGACGGAGACAAAAUUGAGAAGGAAGCAGAACAAAGAGGAACACACAGAUUAUGCAGCGACACUGCCGGCUGUUUAAUAAGCGAUAUCGAUAAAAGUGUAAACAGAGAAAGGAAUUCGUUACCGCGAGCGAUAUACUCUUCUGUACAUUUAAAAAAUAUGUACCACGAUGAAAUGUACGUUUGUUUUUUAUCGGAUUUACACGAGGAAAAUUCACUCUCGUUUCGUAGACGCGAAGAACAAACGACUAUAAACUGAAAACGUAAUUGACAUGAUUUUCUCAUUUUACGGAAUAAUUUCGUUUUGAAUAGAACGUUUUAUUUAAGGAAUAAAUUGCAAUUAAAUUUAAAAUCAUAGGAAAUUGUUUUGAAAAGUACAACGUAACUCGAUAUAAAGAAUUAUUAUUUCCGUUUAUAGUUGAUGUUAGAUCGAUUCGUAAAAAAAAGUAAAAAGAAAUGGUCGUAUGGAAGAAGAAAACAAGGUUUUGAAAGAGUAGUUUAUGGAAAAAAUAGUAGGAAAAACACGCGCAACCGACAAGUGUUCCGCACACGCGGUUAAACAACCGUGUCGUCAUCGAGAUCCCGGACUCGUUCCAGCCGACGGACGUUACUUGGUUAUUUACGAUCGGGAAAAAACCGGAAUGCAUCGUGUCCAGCGCAUGUUACAGCAAGGACACGCGCGAAAAUUAUGAAUUAGCUGCGUGAAAUCGUUAUGACUACACUGUUAGACUGUGGAUUCCCUUCAGGACUUUGGUUCCAUCGUUAUCGUCAGCGACGUGGAAAGGGUCUUCUUUAACGAUUUUUAUGAGAUUUGUUUAUACGUUUGAACAAUACGAAAAAUAAGAGAAACGAGGGAUUGAAUCCGGAUGACCUUUAAAAAAAUAAGAAAGCUGACAUUCGUGUUUUACCAUGUGUUGUCGAGUAAAGCGAAUUCAUCAGAAAUAGGCUAAACCGUGAAAAUGUAAAGUAUAGAAAAUAAAUGCAGUUUUCUACAAUUUA